CUUUCUUGUUCACUCUUCUUCUUCGAAAAGCAUCGCCACUGCCUCACAUUUUUACUUCAGUCUUUCAAUUCAAAUCGAAGUACCACACAACAAGCAACAACGCAAGAUUCAACAUAGUAAACACUAAUUCAAAGUUCAGUUAUGGAAAUGUUUGCGUGCUGUGUGCAUGAUCGUUGGAUUUGAAUUGAAAAAGAUAGAAAGUCUUCGAGUUGAAAAACAAAGGUUCAUUUAUUACCUUGUCUAACGAAACAGGGUCUUGAGACUUCAACCUGGGCACAAGUAUUGCUUGUUGGUAGCAGAAGUAAAGAGGUUACUUCUUGGAUUCUAACACAUCUCCAAGCAUUCUCGAUUCGUGCAGUUCAACUUAUCUCUUGUUUGCUCAUGCUAACGUAAGACUCUGGUUGAGAAUGCAUAAAACACGUAGUUUAUGAAGAUGGUAUUGUAUGGAAGGAAUGGUUAGUUAUAUCCUUCCUGUAUUCAGUUGAUCCCAGUGGGAUUUUGCUGAGGGUGAUGACUUAUGACUUAUUGAAACUGGAUGUACACGGGUUUCGAAGUUGGCACAGGUCAUGGAAAAGGUGUUUGUUUUGUUGCUUGAUGAGUUACAAAAAUUGGGUGCGAAAAUCAGAUUAACAGACUUCUCGAGGAUAAGCAUAGAGACUGGAGUCAGAUCUAUCUAGUGCUUAAGCUUACAGCAGCUGUUUAUUAAAAACACUGCAAACCAGAAAGAAAGAACCAGUGGGCAUGAGAUGAUCCAGCAUUCAUUGUUAUUUGCAGCCUCCUUUUCAUUGUUGCAACUUCGGCUUAUUGUGGUUCAGCCAUAGCGUGGGACAUGCUAUUUACACAUUUCUUUCAGUAUUGAUUUUUCAUUUCUUAAUAACUGGAGCGAUUCUGGCAACAUGUUUCUGGUAAGAUGUAACACCAAUGAAUAUAUAUGAGUUUCGAACUAUGAUCCAGUUUGCACAUUUAGUUCCAUGAUUAUAGCAGAUAAGGGGACCAAUUUUUCUAUAAAAUUCCAUGGAAGCUAUUUGUAUUGGCUGGCUGUGCAUGUUUCUUACGAAUUCAUAUCUUCACGAAGAGUCUCCUAACAGUCAUGUGAUUGAACAAUGAGUGGAAUGUAAAGCAUUGGAACAAUUCCUGCAAGAUCUCUCUGUGACAGGGUGUAUGAUGUUACCUUUCGUUGAGGAGUUAAAGACCAUGAGUUCUUUGUAUUUGUAAGUGGAAAUUAUCAUUUAGUUUCAAAUUAUCAUCUUCGCACGCCAUGGUUAUAUUUCUUAGAGAAUAUAAUACAAAAAAAUAGAAAACACAAAUUGGUGGUUUGUUUAUUUAUAGCUUAUGUUUCCUCCUCUUCUGUAUUUGUGUUUCUGCAACGAGUGUAUAUA